rnacentral:rRNA from 1 species
CUCCUGGAAACGGGUGGUAAUGCCGGAUGUUCCACAUGAGCGCAUGCGAGUGUGGGAAAGGCUUUUUGCGGCAUGGGAUGGGGUCGCGUCCUAUCAGCUUGUUGGUGGGGUAACGGCCUACCAAGGCGUUGACGGGUAGCCGGCCUGAGAGGGCGACCGGCCACAUUGGGACUGAGAUACGGCCCAGACUCCUACGGGAGGCAGCAGUGGGGAAUAUUGCACAAUGGGCGCAAGCCUGAUGCAGCGACGCCGCGUGCGGGAUGGAGGACUUCGGGUUGUAAACCGCUUUUGUUCAAGGGCAAGGCACGGUUUCGGCCGUGUUGAGUGGAUUGUUCGAAUAAGCACCGGCUAACUACGUGCCAGCAGCCGCGGUAAUACGUAGGGUGCAAGCGUUAUCCGGAUUUAUCGGGCGUAAAGGGCUCGUAGGCGGUUCGUCGCGUCCGGUGUGAAAGUCCAUCGCUUAACGGUGGAUCCGCGCCGGGUACGGGCGGGCUUGAGUGCGGUAGGGGAGACUGGAAUUCCCGGUGUAACGGUGGAAUGUGUA